rnacentral:rRNA from 1 species
UUGGCGGACGGGUGAGUAACACGUGAGCAACCUGCCUUUGAGAGGGGAAUAACGGCUGGAAACGGUCGCUAAUACCGCAUAAUGUACGGAUGGGACAUCCUGUCUGUACCAAAGAUUUAUCGCUCGAAGAUGGGCUCGCGUCCGAUUAGGUAGUUGGUGAGGUAACGGCCCACCAAGCCGACGAUCGGUAGCCGGACUGAGAGGUUGGACGGCCACAUUGGGACUGAGACACGGCCCAGACUCCUACGGGAGGCAGCAG